AUGGCAGAGGAGAAGAAGAAGCACAAGCACAUCAAGCACAAGGAGAAGAAGGACAAGGUCGGCGGCGCCGCGGCGGCGGCGGAGGCGAGCUUCAAGCCGUGCGGCGACGUGAAGGGCAUCCGCUUCGGCGGGCAGUUCAUCGUCAAGUCGUUCACGGUGCGUCGCGCGUCGCCGCUGGAGCUGCUCCGGCUGCUGGACAUCCCGCCGUCGUUCCUGAGCGAGCUGCAGAGCCUGCCGUUCCCGUCCACCACCGCCUACAUGCCCACCAGCUUCACCAUCCUGGCGCACCAGGCGUGGCACACGCUCACGCUCGGCCUGGGCACCAAGAAGUCCAAGGUGGUGCUCUUCGUGUUCGAGUCGGAGGCCAUGAAGGCGGCCGUGGACCAGCUGUGGCCGGCCAUGAUCCCGCUCGGGGACGUGAACAAGAAGCUCAUCCGCGGCCUCACCGGCAGCGAGAUGGCGCGCUUCAAGUUCAGGAAGGGGUGCCUCACCAUCUACGUCUACGCCGUGCGCCGGCUGGGUGCCGCCGGCUUCGUGCGCGCCGACGACCUCCGGAGGAUACUGCAGGCCGUGGUGGAGCUCAAGGACUUCUUGGACCACACCGCCAUGCUCGCCAUGCCCAGCCAGAGGAGCAUCACCUUGCAGUCCCGGGGCACCGUGGCCCAAUGA
rnacentral:rRNA from 1 species